rnacentral:lncRNA from 1 species
UCCAAUAUUAUAACAAAUGAAGUAUCAGUUUAGAGGAGGGUAAUCCGCAACCUCUAAAGUGCUAAUACACUUCCAAGCAGAGGAGUAAUCCACACUCUAACAAAGAAGAAACUAGCUCUGAUAUCUGAGGUGAGUGAAGUCUCGACAAACUGUCAUGGACACAGAAUACAGACUUGAUAUCUACCAAGAAGUUCAAGAAGAACUGGCAAGAACUAGAUUAAUCAGAUGAAUACAAGAACAACACCAGAGAGGUGAGCUAGAGCUCCAAGAGAUGUG